AUACGUAGGGUGCGAGCGUUAAUCGGAAUUACUGGGCGUAAAGCGUGCGCAGGCGGUUUUGUAAGUCAGAUGUGAAAUCCCCGGGCUUAACCUGGGAACUGCGUUUGAAACUGCAAGGCUAGAGUGUGGCAGAGGGGGGUGGAAUUCCGCGUGUAGCAGUGAAAUGCGUAGAGAUGUGGAGGAACACCGAUGGCGAAGGCAGCCCCCUGGGUCAACACUGACGCUCAGGCACGAAAGCAUGGGGAGCAAACAGGAUUAGAUACCCCGGUAGUCC
rnacentral:rRNA from 1 species